ACCAACAGGGAUUGCCCUAGUAACGGCGAGUGAAGCGGCAACAGCUCAAAUUUGAAAUCUGGCUCUUUCAGAGUCCGAGUUGUAAUUUGCAGAGGGCGCUUUGGCUUUGGCAGCGGUCCAAGUUCCUUGGAACAGGACGUCACAGAGGGUGAGAAUCCCGUACGUGGUCGCUAGCUAUUGCCGUGUAAAGCCCCUUCGACGAGUCGAGUUGUUUGGGAAUGCAGCUCUAAAUGGGAGGUAAAUUUCUUCUAAAGCUAAAUAUUGGCCAGAGACCGAUAGCGCACAAGUAGAGUGAUCGAAAGAUGAAAAGCACUUUGGAAAGAGAGUCAAACAGCACGUGAAAUUGUUGAAAGGGAAGCGCUUGCAGCCAGACUUGCUUGCAGUUGCUCAUCCGGGCUUUUGCCCGGUGCACUCUUCUGCAGGCAGGCCAGCAUCAGUUUGGGCGGUGGGAUAAAGGUCUCUGACACGUUCCUUCCUUCGGGUUGGCCAUAUAGGGGAGACGUCAUACCACCAGCCUGGACUGAGGUCCGCGCAUCUGCUAGGAUGCUGGCGUAAUGGCUGUAAGCGGCCCGUCUUGAAACACGGACCAAGGAGUCUAACAUCUAUGCGAGUGUUUGGGUGUCAAGCCCGAGCGCGUAAUGAAAGUGAACGGAGGUGGGAACCCGCAAGGGUGCACCAUCGACCGAUCCUGAAGUUUACGGAAGGAUUUGAGUAAGAGCAUGGCUGUUGGGACCCGAAAGAUGGUGAACUAUGCUUGAAUAGGGUGAAGCCAGAGGAAACUCUGGUGGAGGCUCGCAGCGGUUCUGACGUGCAAAUCGAUCGUCAAAUUUGGGCAUAGGGGCGAAAGACUAAUCGAACUAUCUAGUAGCUGGUUCCUGCCGA
rnacentral:rRNA from 1 species